UACAGGGGGGGCAAGCGUUGUUCGGAAUUACUGGGCGUAAAGGGCUCGUAGGCGGCCAACCAAGUCACACGUGAAAUCCCCAGGCUUAACCUGGGAACUGCGUGUGAUACUGGAUGGCUUGAAUUCGGGAGAGGGAUGCAGAAUUCCAGGUGUAGCGGUGAAAUGCGUAGAUAUCUGGAGGAAUACCGGUGGCGAAGGCGGCAUCCUGGACCGACAUUGACGCUGAGGAGCGAAAGCUAGGGGAGCAAACGGG
rnacentral:rRNA from 1 species